rnacentral:rRNA from 1 species
GGCAACCCUGAUCCAGCCAUGCCGCGUGUGUGAAGAAGGCCUUAGGGUUGUAAAGCACUUUCAGUAGGGAGGAAGGCCCAGUAGUUAAUACCUGCAGGGAUUGACGUUACCUACAGAAGCAGCACCGGCUAACUCCGUGCCAGCAGCCGCGGUAAUACGGAGGGUGCAAGCGUUAAUCGGAAUUACUGGGCGUAAAGCGCGCGUAGCGGUUUGUUAAGUGAGAUGUGAAAGCCCAGGGCUCAACCUUGGAACUGCAUCUCAUACUGGCAGGCUAAGUACGGUAUUAUGUGUGUUUUAUUUCC